CAGCCUAGGAAGUGGGCAUACCUGUCAAGGAGAAAACAAACCACCCAUAUGGUCCCCAAAACUUCUGUGAUUGAAAGGAAAAUCAUUAUUUUAUAUAGUUUCAAAUAACCCAGGCUCAAGUCAUAAACAAACUUAACUUCUGUAAACAUUUAAUAAUAUAGGAUCAGUCCUAAAACACAAAUUCAGAAGCAUACAAUAUCAAAAAGCUGAGUCCGAGUUGCCUAAGAGCAUUGGGAAUCCUGAAUUUUUUGUUUAAUGAUAUUAAAUUUCAGUCAGGUUUCCUUUGGAAUAUUAAUAGCUUUGAACCUUAUGCUUACAAUUAAUUUACUUGUUCACAAAUCAAUUAUUAUGAAUACUCUUCUGCCAUGUCAUUCCAAGGAAAUCAAGCACUCUGAAAUAGCUGAAAUUCUAUUUCCUGGAGAAUUAGAAUAAGCAUUACAUUACUCUCAAGAUGUGGAAAAAAGCAAACAUUAAUGAAAUGAAAAUCCAUUUUAUUAGAAAUACAAGACACACAUUAUUUGAAAAUAGUGAACAAUAAUUAGCAUUGUAAAUAAGAAGAGGUGCAGGGAGCCACGCUCUGGGACUUGCUUUAUACACUGAUGUUUUUUCUUGUGAUUUCCAAUUCUUAAGAUGUUUUUCUCUCAGAAAUUUAAGUAGUGAUGUAGCAACACCAAAUCUGAUGUAGAGAAUUAUUGAAAUAAAUAAAUAAAUAUCCACUGUUCUCUCAUACAUACCAUGGGAUUCAGAUUGCAAAUUUGCAGUGUACCUGUGUAUUCCUGUGAUAUGGUGAUUAGAUAUUAUUUGGCAAGUAAAUAGCUGAGUUACUAUGUACAGCAGCUUUUAAAAAAUGUUUGCAAAUGUUUUAUCUACUUAUAAAUUUCACAGGGUGAUUAUGGUCUUUGUGUAUAUGUAAACAGAUCUGUGAAUGGAAAUGUUAUUUUUGUUUGUUUCUAAAAAUUGGAGAGAGAAGGCUUUGUGACAGCUAGUCAAUAAAUAUCCUAUUCUAACCAAUUUUUGCUGAUAAACAAUUUAUCUAAUAGAGAAGGCAGAACAUGUGUACAGACAACAAUAAGAAUACCACAACAAUAUUCAUAAAUGUUAUAAUCUGGAGAUGUACUAUUUUCAGAUGUGCCUGCCUUCUUAAAUUCAGGGUGGGGACAGAAGAAACAAAAUGGACACCUCCAUUAAUACUAUCCUGUAUUGACAAAUAUUAUCAAUGCAGACCAAAAGCAGACCCACCUGACUGUUUUCUCUCAUAUAGAUCAGAGUUUUAUUGUGUGAAAGAUCUAACCAUCAGAUUGAUUGAGACAGUGUAAACUGGAGAAUACAUGGCAAUACUGCAGUACAGAUAUCUUAAUGGGAAGCAGUGAAAGAGGACAUUGAGGCAGGGAGAAAAGAGAAGAGGAAAAAAAUAGAUGAGUAUCAGAAAAUAAAAUGAUUAACAUUAGCAUCCAAGUACCUGAAGUAGACUGUAGUCAUACAAAAGCUCAACUAGUCUUAAGAUUCACAAGUAAGAUUAUUAUGAAUAUAUCAAUUAUGUCUUUAGAGCCCUUGGCCAUUGAAGCAGGAUCAUCACCAAGAUAGGACUAUAGGGUAAAGUGUCCUGGAAGACUUUCAAGCACAGAGUAGCUAAUCUUUUAUAUGCUGCAGAAAUUGAAAUAAUACAUAUUAUAUAAUGGCCUCUACAUCUGUAAAGCUCACAAACCAAAAUGAUUUCAUUGCAGGAUUGCCAGAGCUCUGAGAUGAAUAAAGCCAAAAAGGUAGAUGGAUGUAGAAAGAUUGAGAAAUGGAAUGGAAUCAACAGAGAGAAGAGAGACAGAGGACAAAGAGAAGGAGGGUAGAAAGAGGAAAACAUAGUCUCUAUGAAGGCACAAACAAAAACAGGUAAGCAUGAAGAAUCAGUGCAAAGGAAAAGAAAUGUACUAAAAAGAAAGAACGAGCAAGUGUCCAUGAACAGAGAAGGAAGUGAAUAAGCAAAAGACAGAAAUUUUAAAGCAAAGAUCAGGAAUUGGAAGUAAGCAAAAUGGGUAAAUUCGAAAGUCCACAAGAAUUUGGCCAUUCAACAAGGCCGUUCAACUCUUAUUUCAUUAGUAUGUAAAGAUGGGGAGAAAGAGGAAAUAUGAAAGAUAAGAAAGGAGAAAGGAAGAGAAAGGAAAAAAGAGGAGAAAGAGAAAGGAAGGAAAGGAAAAGAAAGGAAACUGAGCAAAAGCAAAGAGAAUGUAUUGGGUUAGAGAAGGAGAAAUGGCUUUGAACAUUCAAGAGAAGCAGAAAGCAAAAAAAUGAAAACAGAAGAGUGAAUAGAGAGUAAGUUGUUUUUGUCGACUGAAUUCACAUUCACUAUUAAGUUUAUGCUAAUUCUAUUCUCCACACUUAAUCAAAAUUUAAUUCAAAUCAAUAGCAUCCUUGUCACUGGUGCUGGUUCCUCCCUCCCCCACCCCAAGUGUUGCCUUACUAAGGGAGAUAAUAAAAAAAUGGAAACAGACUAGGAGAACACGAACAAGGAAAUAAAAGAGAGGAAGCAAAAGAGAGGAAAAAAAGAAUACUAAUUCUAAAAGUAGUUCUUACGUUGUAGGAAAAAGUUGAGGACAACCCCUGGAAAAAAAUGGAAGAUAAGCGAACAGAGUGCAGAUGGUUGGGCAAAUAGAGCUAGAGUAAAAAAGGAAAAAGCACAGUAUCACACAAUAUUAAAAAGCACUGUUCAAUAUAAAUGUAUGAAUGCAAUUACAGACAGAAAAUGAUCAAAAGAAUUUUGAAAAUAUAGAUUUAGACAAGGCUGGUUUUAUUAAGGAGAUGAUUUAAAGCAGAUGACUGGAGCAUCAUGAGUGAAAGUCUUGGGGGGAAUCAGUGCAGAAUUAAAUCAGUGCAGGGUGUAGGGAAGAUGGAGAGAAGAAAAGGCAGGCAAGAGAAGAAACUACCUGGGCUUUAUAUAGAUUCUAUAUAUAGGAACAUUCUAAAUGCAAAUAAUUUUCUGAGUAUUAAUAAAAUACUUUAGUCCUGAUGCAGCAAUGGUAGCUUGAUAAUAGCACAAAAGCCACAUAGUUACAGAGCAGAACAGAAAUAUCCACUUGCAGCUGCUUCUCAAUGAAGUGACAAAAUUGAUUAGAACAUAUAUAGACAAAUCAUGACAAGCAAAUGGUGGAAAGGCUUUAAGGAGAGAAGAAAGAAGAAGAUAUGGCAAGCAAGACAAGUGUGCAAAAGAAGAAAAUACAUACACAGUAUUGCAGAGGUAAAGUCAGCAAGCGGUUAAGUUAAUAUAGGCACAGACAACAGGAAGUGAAAAAAAGUGAUGGCCUCAGUAAAGACAAGAUAAACGUUAGUACCAACUACAAGACCAAAUUAAAAUAUCACGGCAGUCAAGCAGCAGAGGAGGGACAAAAUUAUGUGAAUAGAAAAAAGAUAAUGAAAAAGAAGAAGGCAAAAGUGGGAAGAAUGAUACUUAUUGGGCUAUGAAAUGUAACAUUUUUAAACUGUGUUGGGACUACGAUUCCAGUUGUUCUCAGUUAGCAAAGGGGGGAUGGUUUCUAGAAAUGUGAGUUGUAUUGCAAAGCACACACCCAUUGCCUUACUGUUAGCUUCUGGAUUGCAUCUUUCAAGGGGAAGAGAAGCAGAGAUACAUGUAAGAGUGCACAUAAUGCUACUGUUUUUUUUUUUAUAAUAUGGAAAGAUUAAGGAAAUUGAAAAACAAGGAUGGGGAAGGAGAUAUUGAAAAAAACCUCACUUUGAUCCAAGAGUAGGACUUGGAGAAUUCCUAAUGAUUAAUCAAUAUCGGCUUCCCCGGAAUUUGUUAUUGCUAUUUCAUAAAAGGUGGUCACUCUUUUGUCUUGUACUGUCCAAUCAGGGAAGCCCUUGUCAGAGCUGCUGUGAAAGUGUAAAGGAGGGAGGAAAGGAAGCGGGAGGGGGAGAAAGAAAAAAAGAGAAAAUGAGGAAAGGAAGGAAGAGACGGAGGGAGGGAGGAUGGAUUGUAUCUUUCGACUACUUAUUAUAUAUCUUGGAUUACUGAUAGACUGACAGAUCCUCAAACCACAAAGAGAAAAAAAGAAACUGAAAACAAGCACAACUCAGAGAAAGAGAAGAAAAAAAAAGAAUGCAAAAAUAUGUGGCAGGCAGGCCCAGCACAGCAAUUACAAUCCAGACAAGAUGGAAAUUUCUUUGCCUAGUCGACCCUCUCAUUUGUGAGGAAUAAUGGUCCCUUACUAAACAGAAUGUAAAGGAGAAGCAAGUAUGGUAAUUCAUUUUGCUUUGCUCUCUUUUCCCACAUUCUGCUCUUUCAAGACUUCUCCAGCUGGCUUACUUCAAUACAGGAACAGAAUCAGAGACAAGGGAAGAGUUCAGCAGAAAAACAUGAAGAUAAAAUGGCGGAUUAUUAUUAUUAUUAUUUAUUUAUUUUUGCUCUGCCUUCGUGAUAACAAAUGCUUCCUUUCUCUCUCUCUUUACAUCACAAAGGGUUAGAUAAAGUAAAAAGCCUAGCUUUUUGGAGAAGAAAAAAAAGAAGCAACAAGAAGAAAAUUGCAGUUAAGAAUAGCAAGCGUUCAAUGGCCAGCUAAGAGACUAGAGGGGGUAAGAUUCAGCCUAAGCAAGAAAAAAGAAGAAAGAUCAGUGAGUCAGUCACCAAACAUGUCUUGGUAACGUCUUUUUUUUUUUUUUUUGCUGCUGUGUAUACCAAAUCCCCAUUAUACUGCCUCCAUCUUGUCUCCAGGCUAUGAGUGAGAUUGGCUUAAAUUGUUUUCAGCUGAACUGGACGUAGACGUAGGUCUUUCCCCAUUGUUCAGUUGUAAUGCUAUCCCUCAAUCUGUAAAGCAGCAGAAAGUUAUAUUGGCAUAAAACGGGUUCUUCUCCUUGCCUGUCUCUAUUCUUCCUGUUGCCUUUCUUCCUGCUCAUGCCAGCCCAUCUGGCUUUCCUCCAAAAUAACAACACGACAGAUUUCCCAAUUUGAUGUUGCACUUGAUGGGGCAUCUAAAGGGGGGAAACAUCCCUGUCUUAUUCAUGGAGAUGAACAAGGGGAAGAGAUGAGGGCAAAGUCACAGUUUCAGCAAGCAUAAUUGCUGUAGAGCAGUUCCAUUGAGACAUGCAUAGCAGCGCCUAAGGUUCUCCUAAAUGUAUGUGUUUGAGAUUUUUGCAGGGAAAAAAAAUCCUUAAAUACGUUUCCUCCCACUACCUUUUCUUACGUGGAAAACAAUACCAGAGCAUAAGCAUUCAGGCAGGAAAUGUCCUAUUUUGCAGUCUUUGCAUGUCUUCAAUUUUACAUCUUACAUAGACAUAUUGGAUUCCUAACAUUAGAUUAUAAAUGCUCAAGUCAACAGGCACUUGAUGCCUUGUUUGAUCAAAAGCUUUAGAAAUGGGACAAGAAGAAGAUAUUACCAGAGCAUGUUGUGUUAUGUUUAGGUGCAAGUAGGAACAGUAGGAUCUGGCUAAUGCAUGCAAAAUGCCAACCAACCACUGGCAUGCAUGCAUGUCACUGUCAAAAGACUGCAAAUAGAUGCAAACAAAACAAUAAUGAGGCUUAAAUCAUCAAACAUAUAUCUGGAUUUCCAUCACCAUCUUCCUCCACUGGUGAAAUUAAAAACCAGUCUGGCAUACAGAAAACUAACUGAAAUCUAGAUAGAUCUCAUUUGAUAGAGCCAUAGGUACUUCCCACAGUUUAGAAAGUGCCCAGUGUCACUUUGGGUAGCAAAAUUUAUAGUAUAUAAAUUUAUAUUUAGAUAUUUAGAUAGAUAGAUAGAUAGAUAGAUAGAUAGAUAGAUAGAUAGAUAGAUAGAUAGAUAGAUAGAUAAAGAUUAUGUAUGUACGUACACACAAACACACACAAGCAUUCUACACUGUGCUUUUGCUAAAUAAGAGGAACAAGGGAAGCAAACAUGGGAUCAAGAAAAGGGGAAGAUUCCUGGAAAGAAAGAGAAAAGGCAAGAAUGCAGAAGUAAAAAAGAAACUAGGAGAAGCUGAGCAAGAAAGAAGAAGCAGUGAGAGUUCAGGGAGAAGCAAGCUGGAUAGCAUAUAGCAAAGCUAGAAAGAGAGAGAAAAACAUGCCACAAGUACAUUUCCAGGGUUAUUUAAAUUUGGUGCAAUACAAAAUGACUUCUAAACUUCAUUUUUAAAUACUGAUUGUUCCUAUGGACUAUAGGAAGAACCUGCUCCAAGACGAGAAGCAUUUUGGCAAGAAAGGAAGUGUUCAAAGUUCCUUAGCUCUAAAAUGGAUUGGAGAAUGUGUAGCCCUUUGUUCUUGAAUUACAACUCCCAUUCAACCAGCAUCACAAAUUAUGAAUGCUGAGAGUUGCAGGCUUAGCAACAAGGUCCCAAGAUGAACAAGAGAUAGUCUCAUUCUUUCAUACAGCAGUUAAUAUAGUUAUAAUUAGGUAUAUUGUAAGAUACCAAACCUAAGAAUUCACCCAAAAAUGCAUUCAGAAAUGAAGCUGUAGAGAGAAAAGUUAGCUAGCAAGCAAGAAAGCACAUGUGAAAAAAUAAGCAAAGAAAGCAAAGAGCCAAACCAGAAAGAAUCUGCAAGCAAUCAAAGAACACACAGAGAGAAGAAACAGUGCAGCUAAACUCCAAGAAGCUGAGGAACAAACCAGAAAGCAACACAGAACCACAGCAGUUUGUUUGGUCUGAUCUUCGUUAUUACGCAAAGCACAUUGUAAACAAAGCUUUGUUGUCCAUGUGUUGUGUGAACUGAGCCAAUUGUAGUUAGUUAAAUAAACAGUGGCUAAGCAAACCAUGGUUUAAUUUGGUGGGUUAACCUGGGAACUGUGUGAGCCCCUCAGCUGGGGAUUAUAAGCAAUAGAUAAAAUCCGAGAAAGGAGAGGGAAAAA